rnacentral:snRNA from 1 species
AGCUUUGCACAGUGGCAGUAUCGUAGCCAGUGAGGUUUAUCUGAGGCCCGAUUAUUGCUAAUUGAAAACUAUGAAAGAAAAG